rnacentral:lncRNA from 1 species
UAAGGUUCAGUUAAUACACCUAUCUACUUGUGACAAUUGAUGUUUUGUAGUAUUCCGACUCAAAUAUGAGAUGGGACUUUCUGGCCUUUGCUAAUUAAAAAAAGAUGAAGCAUACAUUUUGGAAAGAAUGAUGUGCUAUUUCCUGCACCUUAAAGCCAGAGGGAGUCCAGAAUAUAAAUGCAAAUUACAUGCAAAUAUACUUAGGGGACCUUCCUCUUUCUUAGAACUGAAUUCAGCUUCUGGGGAAAUAUAGAAGAGAAGUCCAAGUCUGUAUUUCCCAGGAGUUAAAUUUGAAAGUUUUCAAGAAACUUAACAUAAAUUAUCACCUUCCAUAAUAAAAUAAAAAUUGAAAUUUUCAACAUUAAUAAGUGAAAGAAGGAUCUCCACAUAAAGAUGGAGGAUGGAACUCAGGUGUGAGGAUUACAUUUCCUUGGUAGCUGUCCCUGAAUGAUAUGGCAGUGUCCACGUGAGUUGAGUGGGAGGUGAGUGGGAUACACUACCCUCUAUUGCCAUCCACCAACUUUGCACAGGAGCUCUUCCUUAAUUCUCAUAGCAUUUAUAUGAGGUGGGAGGAAAAAAACAUGGAGAGAAACAUGGAAUAAGGUUCCCUGAAUUGUUCAGCUUGGCAAAUUCUCACUUUAGGUAACUCCACUAAUCUGUUUCCGGGACCCAGGGCUUAUCCUAGCUCCUGGUCCCCUGGAAGCACCAUCAAGUACCUUGUCAGACUCUCUAAGAUAUUUUGUACUUACAAGAUCAAGGCCAACAAUAGACUGCAGUUCCUGUUUCUGCUUACCCAAGUCUACCCGUGUUACUAAGGUUGGAAUGAAUGUACACACCCCUCAGAAAUUCAUAUGUGGGAACAUGAAGUCAGGCAUGGUCCUAAGAACUAGGCCCUUUUGGAAUUGAUUAAGUCAUGAGGGCUCCACUCUCAUGAAUGGGAUUAUUGCCCUUUUAAAGAGGCUUUGGAGAACUACCUGACUAUAUUAGCUUCUUGUUGGAGGGAUCAUGACUGCAAUAGCUUCUGAGUACUGGUCAGUUGGGCAUUAGGGAACAACUACUUAGGCUCCCUUAUGCAGGGCCCCAGGAUCUUUUCUUAAAGAGGACUUCCUUUCUAUGCCCUUGAGUCUGAAAUGGGUGUGGUCUUACAAAUUCUCAAAUACCCUCAAGGCAUCUUUCCUAGUGUCACUGUGCAAAGUACUUAGCAUUUCUUUAGUAUCUAACAUCUCCUUAACAAACACAGCUUCCUUGACCCUGGUUUCACAUGCACUUUUCUGACCAAACUGAAAGUUUUUAAAAUCUCUCAGCUCCACUUUCUACUCCUGAUUUUCACAGCAAACCUGGCUAAAAACUUCCAUCAAAAUCCAUGCUGCUCCUGAAUGCUGUGCUGUCUUAAAAUUUCCUUCACCACAUUAAUUAGUCCAUCACUUUUAAAUGCAGUCACACACAAAGUCCCAGCACAUGGAUCAACGUCAACACAAGUUCUUUGCUAGAAUACAACAUGAAUGGUAUCUAGUCCAAUUCCCCAAACAAACCUCAUUCCCCUCUGAAACCACAGAACCACAGGCUUUGAUCUCUACUUUAUUAUCUUCAUUCUGAUACACUGAGUUCCUACCAGGAUUGCCAUGAAGCCCUGUUUAUAACAUUUUAAGGUUUCUCCAGCAUGCAGCUCUAUAUUCUUCCAAACUUUUCCCACAAACUAGUUCCAAAGAUUUCUGAACAACAUGGUCAGGUUAGUAAUAGCAUUGGUUCCACCUUUUCUCCUUUUUUUCCUUUUUUUCCUGCUGUGAUGAAAUUACUCAACAAGAAUAACCUAAAGGAAGAAAAGUUUAUUUGGGCUCAUAAUUUCAGAGGUUAGUCCAAGGUAGGCUGGCUCCAUUGCUCUGCACCUGAGUUAAAGCAGAACCUCCUGGUGGAAGGACCUGAUGGUGAGGUGCUGCUCUAUUCAUGGCAGCCAAAAAAACAGAGCAAAAGAGGAAGGGGUCCCAGGACAGGAAAGGCAAACCCUUCCAGGGCUCACCCCCCAGUGACCCACCUCCUCCAGCCAUGCCUCACCUGCCUACAGUUACCACCAGUUAGUCAAUUCAAACUAGGAUGGAUUGAUGAGGUUACAGCUCUCACAACCCAAUUGCCUCAUUGCCGAACAUUGCUGCAUUAAUACAGGAGUUGUAGGGGGUAUAGCUCGUACCCAAAUCAAAACACUGGCCCUUUUUUUUUCCUUUUACCAUGUAAGGAUGCAAUAUUUGUACUUUCAAGAGGACUCAGAUACAAGGUGUCAUCUUGGUAGCAAAGCCAGACUUCCACCAGACACUGCAUCUGUUGGCUCCUUGACCUUGGUCAUUAUGUGGAUGCCGGAGUGAAGAUAUUUAGCCUGGAGAGGAAAAGGGCUGUGCAUGUGUUGGGUUGCCAGCUUUAGCCAAUAGGUAUACAAGACACAGUUAGAUGUGAAUUUCAGAUAAGCAACAGAUAUCUUUAACAUGUACUAUAUAUACUUAUAUUAAGAAGUUUUUGUUAUUGUUGUUAUCUUUAAAGUUUAAAUUUAAAUAUUCUAUAUUUUAUCUUGGCAACCCCACCGAUGUGAAGGGUGGGCUAUUUUUAGCUUCUUGAAGGACUGGCAGGGGGUGGUCCCCAACUGCAUCUGGGAAUCAGUUGGGCAACUUUCCAAAACAGAGCUAAUGCCUACCUUCCAGAGAUUCUGAUUUAAUGUUUGGGUUCAGUCUGCUACUGGGCUAUUUAGAAAUCCUGCAGAUGAUUCAAAGGUAUAGCUAGGUUAACAACCACUGAGUUAGACUGAUUUAAUCUAGAGUCAAGGGGUGGUUUUUGAGCCAUUAGAGACUUGAAAUUUGUCUCUUCAUGUGCACUUUUCACAGAAGAGGUCAAGUUCUCUCAAGAGGUAAUGAGACUCCUGUCACCUUAGGUGUGUAAGUAGGGUACUGAUGAUGUCCUAAAGGUAAAUUGUUUUCAGAGGGAAUUAAAGAUGGGUGGGAGUCCAGAGGAGAGGUUAGGGAGCAGGAGCAGAACUUAGUGUUCACCAAGAUCUCUCCAACUCUGAAAUAUCAGGACUGGUUUAGUCAUUAGAUUAAAAGCUAAACGAAUCAUAGCGCGAUACACAGACAGGCAAAAGUAAAUAAAUAAAUAAUGCAUGCAACUCUGAAAAAAAAUGCAUGCAUUAAAAAAAAGGGGAAAUCCUACUAAGGUAUCUAGUGUCUAAUCGUAUUCCUGGUCUUGACGAUACAGUGCGGUUACAUAAAAUGUCCCUAUUAGUGGAAGCAGAGUAUUGGGACACAAAACCUUGCCGUGCUCUUUUGUCAACUUCAAGUGACUCUUUUGAGAUGGAAGACUUCAAAUAAAUUAAUUCACAUCAUCACACUCAAGAAUCAUUUCUCUACCAAGUCGGAGCCAUAGAUGGUGACAAGAAGGGCUCACAGCAAUGGUCCCCACAGGGCGGGGUGGAGGAGGGGGAUCUGGGGUGCUCUUUCCACUCCCUGCCUGCCUGCAGUGGGGACCUCCCCUUCUCCUGGAUUCUCCAGGCCUCUCUGCAGAUGGAGGAACCCCAGCAGCCCUUCCUGGAUCUGUUUACCAACAGAAAACCAGGCUCCUUGGUCGCACUGAAAAUAAAGAGGACCCCCGCUCUCCAGUGCAUCCAGUUCCUAGAAGGAAUCUACGUCAUCAUUUUCCAGCUUUAAUUAGCGAUACAAUGAACUAAUAAUAAAAAUGAAAGCCAAUACUGAGACGAGAUGAGAUGCCAGCCGCGGCCUGCAGUGACUCUGUUUGUGGGUGUGGAGUGUGUGUGUAUUUUUAGAUAACGACUUAUUCUGCAUGUGGUAAUUAGGGCCCCAAGGGGGUUGUGAAUUUUUCCCCCCCAGGGUUGGCAAGUGGAAGGAAGAGGCAGCUGAAAUUCCCACACAUCUGGGGCACACAGAUCCUGCACUCCAAUUUCCUGUCGGCGCCACUGGUUUCUUUCGGAAUUACUUGCUAAGUAAAUGAUUGUUAUAAGACGAUGAUUCGGUCAAUCAAAUUAACCCCUUUUGUCCAUUACCUCCCUCCCCCAGCCCAACGGUCCCCUUCAUUUGCCUAAACUCGGAGGCUCUGGACAAUGUGUUCCAGGCUGGAGGCCCCAGCCUUCUGCACAUUGGCCCCGUGUAACCUGAGCGAGAACCAGAGGCCCCAAUUGUUUUGCUAAUCAAGAUUAUUGGCCCAUUGAGAUGUGGAGGCACAGCCUGGCUGACAAAAAUUGUCAGUUUCCCAUGAAAUAGUUCUGUCAGUUUAGCCUGGGUGCUGGCAACUAUUAACAUAUAAAUGAAGUUUCUCGCUCCUUUGGCCCCCCUCACCCCCUACCCUUCAGCCACCCAUCCUAAUGGAUGCAGAGAAAAUAUAAACACACCCCCACCCCCAGCUCCCAAGCCUUCUGCAUGCUUAAGUCCCACCAGCUUCUUUUCUCCCGGAUCUGGAAAUCCUGUGGGCGAUGGGGGAGCAAAGAGAGAAGGGGAGGGGGCGGGGAGGAGUUCGUUUGUACAAAACGAUUUUUAAGGCCCCAAAGCUGCCAGGCCUCAGUCCCCUGCUGACUGCAGAGGCCGGCGGCUGGCCAAGCCUGCAAAGGUACAAAUGGCCCUCUGAAUGCCAGGGCAGACCUUCAAGGCAGCCUUCAGGGGACAAAGUGGCAAAGAGAAGCCUGGGGAUUGAAAGAGUUGUCUAGGCUCAGGGGUCAAACGCUGAGCUUUCUUGGUAGCAUGGCUGCCAGAGGCAAGGCAGGGCUGGAUGUAACUCCAAGUCGCCCUUGACUGGAUUCUGGAACAAGUCGGGCUGUGCUGCGGCCUGGGGUGGGUUUGUCUUUUUCUCACCCUAUAGUCAGGUGCCUUUUGCACAAUGGCUCAAGUUCUGAAUUAAAACUCAAGGAUGAAGGGCAAAUGUCUGUUCUUCCUGAUUCUCCUGGGAUGGAAUUAGGACCACAGGGAAGAAGACGAAAUGUU